rnacentral:rRNA from 1 species
UACGUAGGUGACAGGCGUUGUCCGGAUUUACUGGGCGUAAAGAGCGCGCAGGCGGUCGAUCAAGUCGAGUGUGAAAGCCCCCGGCUCAACUGGGGAGGGUCAUUCGAUACUGAUCGACUCGAAGGCAGGAGAGGGUAGUGGAAUUCCCGGUGUAGUGGUGAAAUGCGUAGAUAUCGGGAGGAACACCAGUGGCGAAGGCGACUACCUGGCCUGUUCUUGACGCUGAGGCGCGAAAGCUAGGGGAGCAAACAGG